UACAGAGGGUGCAAGCGUUAAUCGGAAUUACUGGGCGUAAAGCGUGCGUAGACGGUUAUGUAAGUCAGAUGUGAAAGCCCCGGGCUUAACCUGGGAAUGGCAUUUGAGACUGCAUAGCUAGGAUGCGGAAGAGGGAAGUGGAAUUUCCGGUGUAGCGGUGAAAUGCGUAGAUAUCGGAAGGAACAUCAGUGGCGAAGGCGGCUUCCUGGACCAAUACUGACGAUCAGGUGCGAAAGCGUGGGGAGCAAACAGG
rnacentral:rRNA from 1 species